UUUACCACUACAAGUCUCCACCACCUCCUCCCCCAGUUUACAAAUACAAGUCUCCACCACCACCACCACCAGUUUACCACUACAAGUCACCACCACCUCCUCCCCCAGUUUACAAAUACAAGUCUCCACCACCUCCUCACCACUACUAAGCAAUUGCUUCUGAGGUAAUAACACUUGUUCAAUAUACACACUUCUGCAUGAUAAAACAUAUCUCUAUCAACACAAACUGUCAUGUCUAUCAUGCUAAGUGCCUUCACUUCAUCCACGAAAAUGACUGCUAGAAAAUUUUUUUUUAAGUUACCAAAGAAAAGCAUCAUUUUUUCCCUCUGUUAUCAAGAACUUGUACAGUAUGUAGAUUAAAGAGUUUUUAUUUUAACUAGCUUAUCAACUUAGAAAUGCAUAUAACUGAUAGCCAGCUGAAUAUUUGCAGGCAAAGGAGAAGGAAACCAGUGUUUGGACCUUCUUGAAGAUGUAGAAGCAUAAGAAUAAAAGCCCAAUGUGAAGAUGAUGAUUUCAAGUUUUUCUACGUUACCAUUUCUAUAUCUAAAUUCGUUGUAGCGCCUUAGUUCCUUUGUUUAUGGGAUUUGUAUCGUUUUACGUACCAUGCA
rnacentral:lncRNA from 1 species